ensembl:lncRNA
GUACAGGUUUUGAAAGUUAGGGUACCGUGUGUGGGGAUCAAACUCUGCUCCUCAGGGAGAAGCUCUGGGUUUUCUGUUCACUCCUGAUUGUGGGUGGUUGUGCUGGGGACGGCGUUUAUGGGGAGAUUAUGUCCCAGCUGUUCCUGUUUGAUCUGACGUUGCUGCAGAGUCGUUGUGUCCACGGGGGGAGCGGGAGGGGUUAUGACCCAACCUCGUCCUCCUUGAGCCGGAGCGUUUUUCUUCUCCUGCUCGGGGACAGGAGAGCUCCAGGUUCUCGGCCCUUGGACUCAGAAACUUACACUAGAAGUGCCUUGGUUCUCAGGGUCACAGGCCCGGGCUGGAUUAUCCCAGUGGCUCUUCUGUGUCUCCAGGUUGUAGGUGGCAGGUUGUCAGACUUCUCUGGCUUCAUUCGUAAUGUGUGUGUGUGCUUGGUGGCUAAGUCAUGCCAGACUCUCUAGCCUGCUAGCCGCCUCUGUCCAUACUAUUUUUCAGGCGAGAAUACUAGAGUGGGUUUUCAUUUCCUACCUCAGGGGAUCUUCCCCACCCAGGGAUUGACCCCGUCUCUUGCAUUGGAGGUGGAUCCUUUACCACUGAGCCACCUGGAAAUCCCUCAUUCUUAACACUGGAACCAAUUCUGAUAAUGUCUCCUCUUGAAUACAGCUCUAUCCUGUUGGUUCUGUUUUCUCUGGAGAGCCCUGACUAACACACUGCCAUGAUCAACUGGGCGUGGAGAAGGAGCAGCUUGGAAUGGCAGCGGACAGCCAGAACAGAUGGACAGCAGCUGAAUCAAUCAAGAAGCGAUUGCAAUCUAUGGUCCUGGAGGCAAUUACCACUCCCUCACUGAGAAGUCAAUGAAAAGGAUACAUCAAAGAGUUAUUAACACACUCAUAAAUUUGUAAAGCAUCUCCUAACGACACCACUAUAACUAUCCCCAUGUAUAAUGGCUUCAUAAUUUUAUUUGUUGAAGUAUAAUGUACACAAGUGAAAUGUUUAUAUCUUAGGUGUGCUGUCCAAUCAGUUUUGAUAAAUGCAUAUACUUUUGCAGACUAUGCCCCUAUCAAGACACAGAGCAUUUCCUUCAAACCCAGAAAGUUACUUGUGUCCCUACCCAGGCAAUGCCCCUCUCAGAAACAACAACUAAUCCUGUUAUUUGUCACUAUAUUCCAAAGUUUCAUAUAAAUUGAAUCCUGUAGUUUGUCAUCUUUUGCAUCUUGCUUUUUUAUUUAGCAUAAUAUUUUCUGAGAAUGACUCAUAUUAUUUCAAGUACCAGUAUCUGAUCCCUUUUUAUUGCAAAGUAAGAUUCCAUUAUAAGAAAAUACACAGUUUAAUAAUCCAUUCUUCUAUUGAUGGACAUCUGGGAUGCUUACAGGUUGGAAUUGUUAUGAAAAGAAGAUUCUAUGAACAAUUUUAUUUUCCUUUUUGGUGUAACUAUGUUUUUGUUUCUCUUGAAUAAAUAUCUUGGAGUAGAAUUGCCAGCUCAUAGAGUAUAUGUGCAUUCAACUUUUGGAGAACUAAGUUUUCUGAAAUGUUUGUUCUGUUUUACACUCCCACUAGUAAUAUAUGAGAAUUUGAGUUACUCCAGUAUUUGAUGUUGUCAGUAUUUUAUUUUAGCCAUUCUAGUAGGUGUGUAAUGAUAUUUCAUUAUGGUUUGAAUUUGCUUUUCCUGGAUGAAUGAUAUGAAAACUUUUUCAUAUGCCUAUUGGCCAUUUUGGAUAUCUCCUUUGGGCAAAAGUGUGGAAAAUGUGAAUUGUCU